GGGCCCGCACAAGCAGUGGAGCAUGUGGUUUAAUUCGAUGCAACGCGAAGAACCUUACCAGGCCUUGACAUCCUCGGAACUUUCUAGAGAUAGAUUGGUGCCUUCGGGAACCGAGUGACAGGUGCUGCAUGGCUGUCGUCAGCUCGUGUCGUGAGAUGUUGGGUUAAGUCCCGUAACGAGCGCAACCCCUGUUGUUAGUUGCCAUCGAGUCAUGUCGGGAACUCUAACAAGACUGCCGGUGCAAACCGUGAGGAAGGUGGGGAUGACGUCAAAUCAUCACGGCCCUUACGUCCUGGGCUACACACGUGCUACAAUGGCCGGUACAGAGAGCAGCCACUACGCGAGUAGGCGCGAAUCCAUAAAACCGAUCUCAGUUCGGAUUGGAGUCUGCAACUCGACUCCAUGAAGUUGGAAUCGCUAG
rnacentral:rRNA from 1 species